UCGCGACCAGCAGUCAGAGGGUCGUUAUUUUGGUGCUGAAGGUGUGAGGGGUCCGGACUGAGUUGAAAACGCCCAGCCCUAGGGUACCAUCUGGAGAUGUUCUGUCACUUCAAGGAUACUGAAAGCGGGAAGAGUCACUUGAGGGAGUAUCCGCUGUCAUUGCCUCUGGAUGGUUUUGCGACUUGGCUCACAGGUGGAAAGACUAUGUCCAAUACAUAGCAGAUGCCUGGGACUCAUUUUGCUGAUUUCAAAGUUCCUUUGGAACGGAACACGCAAACAGUAGUGAUCUAUACAAGUGAACAGAAAAGGACGAAGGCACAGGAGCCUGCCUCCCAGGUCAGCACAUGCCGAGAUCCGAGUUCAGGUGUCUGUGAUCUCUCCAAAUGCAAAUAAAACACCUGACUGUGGCUACAGCUGUCACACCCCAGACAGCAGCUUGUUCUGUGAGUUUCAGGUCUUGAAACAACAGAAACACCCAGAAGUACUCUCAGGAAGGAACGGCAUUUCCGUGAAGGUCCUCGAAGGGUGCACGUUGUGUACAAACACUUGAAGAGAUGAUGGAGGAGCUCUUGGGUGUGCACAAAGCCAAGUGCUGCCCCCUGAAGGAAAAAGUGCAAUCAUCGGAAUGAACUCUCUUGGUUUAUUUAAGUGCUUCAUGUACACAGCUUUUAGGCACAUGUCCGUACCUGUCCUAUGACAGCUAUCCUUUACCCUAACCUCAGUGGGAACAGGAAUGCUGAAGAAUUGCUUUUAAUAACAGAUGAAGAUUAAAAAUGUUUUAAAGCCCUCAA